rnacentral:rRNA from 1 species
UACGUAGGUCCCGAGCGUUGUCCGGAUUUAUUGGGCGUAAAGCGGGCGCAGGUGGUUUAUUAAGUCUGGUGUAAAAGGCAGUGGCUCAACCAUUGUAUGCAUUGGAAACUGGUAGACUUGAGUGCAGGAGAGGAGAGUGGAAUUCCAUGUGUAGCGGUGAAAUGCGUAGAUAUAUGGAGGAACACCGGUGGCGAAAGCGGCUCUCUGGCCUGUAACUGAUACUGAGGCUCGAAAGCGUGGGGAGCAAACAGG